rnacentral:lncRNA from 9 species
AUGCUGGAUGAGGAGGACACUGACAAAGACGGGAUGAGUUUGGAGGUCGACACUCCAGUGACGAACCAUCGGGGUGACGACGACGAUGACGAAGAAGAUCUCCCCGAGAUAGUGCUGGAUGACGUGCCUGCGGUGAGGGUGGCGGGACGGCCUCCAUUCGCUCCGCGGGUGGCCUUCAUGGUGAACAAAACACAUGACCCCGAGUACCCGAGGCGGAAGGUGUCCGGCAUCAGUGCUCAGAAAGUUGUUCCACCUUCCACCAAGAUGCUGGAUGAGGAGGACACUGACAAAGACGGGAUGAGUUUGGAGGUCGACACUCCAGUGACGAACCAUCGGGGUGACGACGACGAUGACGAAGAAGUGGUCUUCCUUGCUGGCAUUGGUUGGGGAGCACCAGAUCCGGGGUUCCUUUUGGGAAAGGGUUGCUCCCAGCUCAUUCCCAGCCAUAGUGAUGCCCAAGGUGUACACGCCCUGGACACAAGUCUGCCCUGUAGAUGGUGCUUUGUGGCAAGAUAGGAGGCCCGGGAAGCGAGGUCCACACGUGAGCACGUGUGGUGUGAGCGUGUGGUUC